rnacentral:rRNA from 1 species
UGGGGAAUAUUGGACAAUGGGCGAAAGCCUGAUCCAGCCAUGCCGCGUGUGUGAAGAAGGUCUUCGGAUUGUAAAGCACUUUAAGUUGGGAGGAAGGGCAGUAAGCGAAUACCUUGCUGUUUUGACGUUACCGACAGAAUAAGCACCGGCUAACUCUGUGCCAGCAGCCGCGGUAAUACAGAGGGUGCAAGCGUUAAUCGGAAUUACUGGGCGUAAAGCGCGCGUAGGUGGUUCGUUAAGUUGAAUGUGAAAGCCCCGGGCUCAACCUGUGAACUGCGUCCAAAACUGGCGAGCUAGAGUAGGGCAGAGGGUGGUGGAAUUUCCUGUGUAGCGGUGAAAUGCGUAGGUAUAGGAAGGAACACCAGUGGCGAAGGCGACCACCUGGGCUCAUACUGACACUGAGGUGCGAAAGCGUGGGGAGCAAAUAGG